UGGAGACGAAAUCCCACAGAUCUGCAGCAUCUGCUGUUCCUCUGCCGAAGGAGCAGAUUUCGACUCCA
rfam:Lottia gigantea hypothetical protein partial mRNA